GAUGAACGCUAGCGGGAGGCCUAACACAUGCAAGCCGAGCGGUAGAGAUUCUUCGGAAUCUUGAGAGCGGCGUACGGGUGCGGAACACGUGUGCAACCUGCCUUUAUCUGGGGGAUAGCCUUUCGAAAGGAAGAUUAAUACCCCAUAAUAUAUUGAAUGGCAUCAUUUGAUAUUGAAAACUCCGGUGGAUAGAGAUGGGCACGCGCAAGAUUAGAUAGUUGGUGAGGUAACGGCUCACCAAGUCUACGAUCUUUAGGGGGCCUGAGAGGGUGAUCCCCCACACUGGUACUGAGACACGGACCAGACUCCUACGGGAGGCAGCAGUGAGGAAUAUUGGACAAUGGGUGAGAGCCUGAUCCAGCCAUCCCGCGUGAAGGACGACGGCCCUAUGGGUUGUAAACUUCUUUUGUAUAGGGAUAAACCUACUCUCGUGAGAGUAGCUGAAGGUACUAUACGAAUAAGCACCGGCUAACUCCGUGCCAGCAGCCGCGGUAAUACGGAGGGUGCAAGCGUUAUCCGGAUUUAUUGGGUUUAAAGGGUCCGUAGGCGGAUCUGUAAGUCAGUGGUGAAAUCUCACAGCUUAACUGUGAAACUGCCAUUGAUACUGCAGGUCUUGAGUGUUGUUGAAGUAGCUGGAAUAAGUAGUGUAGCGGUGAAAUGCAUAGAUAUUACUUAGAACACCAAUUGCGAAGGCAGGUUACUAAGCAACAACUGACGCUGAUGGACGAAAGCGUGGGGAGCGAACAGGAUUAGAUACCCUGGUAGUCCACGCCGUAAACGAUGCUAACUCGUUUUUGGGCUUUCGGGUUCAGAGACUAAGCGAAAGUGAUAAGUUAGCCACCUGGGGAGUACGUUCGCAAGAAUGAAACUCAAAGGAAUUGACGGGGGCCCGCACAAGCGGUGGAUUAUGUGGUUUAAUUCGAUGAUACGCGAGGAACCUUACCAAGGCUUAAAUGGGAAAUGACAGGUUUAGAAAUAGACUUUUCUUCGGACAUUUUUCAAGGUGCUGCAUGGUUGUCGUCAGCUCGUGCCGUGAGGUGUUAGGUUAAGUCCUGCAACGAGCGCAACCCCUGUCACUAGUUGCCAUCAUUAAGUUGGGGACUCUAGUGAGACUGCCUACGCAAGUAGAGAGGAAGGUGGGGAUGACGUCAAAUCAUCACGGCCCUUACGCCUUGGGCCACACACGUAAUACAAUGGCCAGUACAGAGGGCAGCUACACAGCGAUGUGAUGCAAAUCUCGAAAGCUGGUCUCAGUUCGGAUUGGAGUCUGCAACUCGACUCUAUGAAGCUGGAAUCGCUAGUAAUCGCGCAUCAGCCAUGGCGCGGUGAAUACGUUCCCGGGCCUUGUACACACCGCCCGUCAAGCCAUGGAAGUCUGGGGUACCUGAAGUCGGUGACCGUAAUAGGAGCUGCCUAGGGUAAAACAGGUAACUAGGGC
rnacentral:rRNA from 1 species